UAGGCAGACAGUAAAGUACCCGAUGCACAAGCCGCCCACGAAAAAACCAUAACGGGAUUAUUAGCUGCUCUAGGCGGAGCAAACUUAAUCUAUGGUUUGG
rfam:Desulfosporosinus orientis DSM 765, complete genome.